AUACGGAGGGGACAAGCGUUAUUCGGAAUCACUGGGCGUAAAGGACGCGUAGGCGGGUUAUUAAGUCGGGUGUGAAAUCCAAUGGCUCAACCAUUGAACUGCAUUCGAAACUGAUAACCUAGAGUAUGGAAGGGGCAGGUGGGAUUAGUGGUGUAGGGGUAAAAUCCGUAGAUAUCACUAGGAAUACCGAAAGCGAAGGCGACCUGCUGGGACAUUACUGACGCUGAGGCGUGAAAGCGUGGGGAGCAAACAGGAUUAGAUACCCUAGUAGUCC
rnacentral:rRNA from 1 species